CCGUAAACGAUGAGUACUAAACGUUGGGUAAAACCAGUGUUGAAGUUAACACAUUAAGUACUCCGCCUGAGUAGUACGUACGCAAGUAUGAAACUUAAAGGAAUUGACGGGACUCCGCACAAGCGGUGGAUCAUGUUGUUUAAUUCGAAGGUACCCGAAAAACCUCACCAGGUCUUGACAUGCUUCUGCAAAGCUGUAGAAACACAGUGGAGGUUAUCAGUUGCACAGGUGGUGCAUGGUUGUCGUCAGCUCGUGUCGUGAGAUGUUGGGUUAAGUCCCGCAACGAGCGCAACCCUUAUUGUUAGUUACCAGCACGUAAUGGUGGGGACUUUAGCAAGACUGCCAGUGAUAAAUUGGAGGAAGGUGGGGACGACGUCAAAUCAUCAUGCCCCUUAUGACCUGGGCUACAAACGUGAUACAAUGGCUGUUACAGAGGGUAGCUGAAGCGCAAGCUUUUGGCGAAUCUCAAAAAAACAGUCUCAGUACGGAUUGAAGUCUGCAACUCGACUUCAUGAAGUUGGAAUCGCUAGUAAUCGCGAAUCAGCAUGUCGCGGUGAUACGUUCUCGGGGUUUGUACACACCGCCCGCCAAACCACGAAAGUUGGCAAUACCCAAAGCCGGUGGCCUAACUUCGCAAGAAGAGGGAACCGUCUAAGGUAGGGUCGGAGAUUGGGUUUGACUUAUAACAGUGUAUCCCCCCCGGAAGGUGGGGAUGGAUCA
rnacentral:rRNA from 1 species